rnacentral:rRNA from 1 species
AUUGAACGCUGGCGGCAUGCCUUACACAUGCAAGUCGAACGGCAGCACGGGUGCUUGCCCCUGGUGGCGAGUGGCGAACGGGUGAGUAAUACAUCGGAACAUGUCCUGUAGUGGGGGAUAGCCCGGCGAAAGCCGGAUUAAUACCGCAUACGAUCUACGGAUGAAAGCGGGGGACCUUCGGGCCUCGCGCUAUCGGGUUGGCCGAUGGCUGAUUAGCUAGUUGGUGGGGUAAAGGCCUACCAAGGCGACGAUCAGUAGCUGGUCUGAGAGGACGACCAGCCACACUGGGACUGAGACACGGGCCAGACUCCUACGGGAGGCAGCAGUGGGGAAUUUUGGACAAUGGGCGAAAGCCUGAUCCAGCAAUGCCGCGUGUGUGAAGAAGGCCUUCGGGUUGUAAAGCACUUUUGUCCGGAAAGAAAUCCUUGGCCCUAAUACGGGCGGGGGAUGACGGUACCGGAAGAAUAAGCACCGGCUAACUACGUG